AUUGAACGCUGGCGGCAUGCUUUACACAUGCAAGUCGAACGGUAACAGGCCGCAAGGUGCUGACGAGUGGCGAACGGGUGAGUAAUGCAUCGGAACGUGCCCAGUCGUGGGGGAUAACGCAGCGAAAGCUGCGCUAAUACCGCAUACGAUCUAUGGAUGAAAGCGGGGGACCGUAAGGCCUCGCGCGAUUAGAGCGGCCGAUGGCAGAUUAGGUAGUUGGUGGGGUAAAGGCUCACCAAGCCAACGAUCUGUAGCUGGUCUGAGAGGACGACCAGCCACACUGGGACUGAGACACGGCCCAGACUCCUACGGGAGGCAGCAGUGGGGAAUUUUGGACAAUGGGGGCAACCCUGAUCCAGCAAUGCCGCGUGCAGGAAGAAGGCCUUCGGGUUGUAAACUGCUUUUGUACGGAACGAAACGGUCUGGGUUAAUACCCUGGGCUAAUGACGGUACCGUAAGAAUAAGCACCGGCUAACUACGUGCCAGCAGCCGCCGUAAAAC
rnacentral:rRNA from 1 species